CCCAUGAAAAAUGGGUUGGACCUGGUGAACAGUAUAGUAGAUCAAUGGAUUUGACUGUCUGAUUCAAGUAGGACCACUAUAACUUAUAGUGCUCUGAUAACACUGGAGAAUUUCUCAAGAAAAGGAAUGACACAAUCAUACGUCAUUCUAGCAUUAUCUUUCAGAGAUCCUUCUUGUUCAUCACAUACUUAUUACAUUUCCCUAUAAAUUGAGUAGGUAGUUGCCGGGAGUCUUAGUACUUGAACAUAAAAGGUUGUGCUUUCAUAGCAUACAUCACUCAAAAAACUGCUCUAUUUGAUUACAGAGUGUGAUGGUACUGGUGAACCCAACAUGGAACCACAGUUUUUGGAAGGGGUUGAUGAAGUAGCAAACUGUCCUUACUCUGAAGGCAUGGGCUAUACCAUCUGCUAUGUAUGUGAAGGAUUUUAAUCAAUUGUGCCUGAAUUUAGGCCUACAAGCACUUCAGCUUUUUGAUGGCACUUGUGUUACGAGUAGACCAUAUAGAGGAUUUAUUUUUAUUUAUUUA